rnacentral:lncRNA from 10 species
CGGAGACAGCAUGAUCCUGUCUUGCUACAGGGGAAAGAGGAAGACACCAGGAAGUUUUUCACCAGCCAGAGUAUCGCACUCCUACCAAGUGCAUCUCUGCGAAGACAAAACCCCAUAAUGAAAGAAACAUUCUGAGGAUGUUUGCUGAGCUCCAUAAUUGAGAGAAAGAAGUUGGACAAAGACACACCCACAGGGAAAGCACCAUGAGAAGAUGACGGCAGAGAUCUGGGCGACGCGUCUACAAGCCAAGCGACACCAAAGGUGGCCAGCAGCCCAUGUGAAGCUGGAGGAGAGGCCUCGAAUAAAUGCUCCCUUACAGCGUUCAGGGGGAACUGACCCUGUCCACACCUUGACCUUGAACUUCUGGGCUCCAGAACUGUGAGACAGCAUGUUCUGUUGUUGAAGGAGCAGCGUGGCUAGAGGAAUUCCUGCAGCUUAGAUUUCGCUGGCACUGUUACCACUCCCAGAGAGGAGCGGCUGGAGUUCACGGCUGGUUCCUGACAAACUUCCUAAUUAAUCUGCUAAAGAUCAGAGGAGGACUAAUAGGAGCUGAAGACUGUGUGCGAGACCACCCCUCCGCCCUCUCCCUUUGUGUGUGCACGUGUGUGUGUGUGUGUGUGUGAGCGCGUGCGCGCAUGUGGUGCUGAGCUUGGCGGGAGAGAGAUGGCCUCACCAGCGACAAAGCAUUCCUGCUGCUGUUGCUGCCACCUACCUUCCCUGCUUUGGGAGGAUACAUUUUCUCCUCUUGCUUAGAAGUUUCAGGGAGUCACCCAAGCCUUCUUCUCCCAGAUACAACGGUGGAAUAAAAUAUCUUCCAGCCAACAUAUUUUUUGGAGACGGAAUCUCACUCUGUCACCUGGUUGAAGUGCAGCAGCGCGAUCAUGGCUCACUGCAACCUCUGCCUCCCGGUUUCAAGUGAUUCUCCUGCCUCCGCCUCCCGAGUAGCUGGGAUUACAGGCAUGUGCCACCCACCACGCCUGGGUAAUUUUUGUAUUUUUACUAGAGACAGGGUUUCACUAUGUGGGCUGGGCUGGUCUCAAACUCCUGACCUCUGGUGAUCUGCCCACUUCGGCCUCUCAAAGUGCUGGGAUUACAGGCAUGAGCCCCCGCACCCGGUUGCAACCAACUUUUUUGUGGAAUAUAGGAUCUUGAUGUUUGGAUGCCUGAAGGCAGAAGCUGUUGCACAUGGAAUGGAUUAAAGUUUUCCCCUCUGCAACCAAAAAUCCUUGGGGUCCCAGGAGCAAAAGAUGCUCCAUGGCACAGGACAAUUCAAGAAGGCCCGAGGUGAUAUUGAAGACUGCAGAGACAUCCAGCUCAGUUGUGUCUCCGGAGGUGUCCAGACUUUGCAGACAGACGUUGCACAUAAAGAGCUGAAAAACUGAGGAAGCUGAGCUGGAGAAGGAAGUCACUUCUACUCAGACUUGACCUGCGUCUGAUGCUAUGGGGCCUCUUAGGGUUACCUCAUGCUUCAUGCACCCCUUUCUCUGUUCUUCAGCAGAAGGCAGGGUGUAGGGAAGCGGGACUGUGCCUCCUUUCUCCCUGCCAGGCCUGACUCUCCAGGCCAAGAGACACCAUUAAGGAGUAUAAUUUGUUGAUCCAGGCUCUCCUUGCGUUUCAGUGCAGAGUGGCAUCGUUUUCUUUAUGACCUCGUAAAGUCACAGCCGAGAGGCCGAUUUGGAAAACAAACUGCCUCAGGUUGACAGAUAAUUAGAUACAGGGGACAUAUUAUAUGCCUUUGCAUAUAAAUGUGCUCCGAGGCGUGUUGGUUCAUCUGAAGUUGAGGUUAAAGGCGCGCCAGGUAUUCCUGACACAUCAGGAUAUAUAUUUUCAUACAGUCUCAGGUGCUGUGUUGGUUUUAUAGGCCUUUCAUCCUGGUGCUGACGGAUGGGGUGUGAUUGUGACCCAACUUAGAAGAAAGGGACUUCCCUUGCCCAGGGGCCUCCUGGCGUUUUUGUUUUGUGUUCUCCCUCUCCACCCCCACUUUCUCUUCUUCCUUGGGAAGGGAACUGUUCUUUGGACCUAGGAUUCUGCCGUGAGUGACUAAUGGCCUGAGUAGGAGGGACCGGGACUCAUUUUUCUUUUCUGGACUCUAAUAGGCCCAAUUAAUUCAGCUACAACAUGGGCCCUUACAAGCCUGGGACAAGCCUGGGUGGAAUUCUAUAUUGAGGGUAAGAAAAGGGAUGGAAGUAGAUGUUUUCCAGAAGGUUCUGUGGACUCUGGGGGUGACCUGUGGACAGCUGCUGCUGCCCACUACCUGGCAGUUUGGCUAUGUGAUACAUGUCAGCCUUACAAGGAGAUCCCCCUUACCCUGGAAUCUACUUUGGGGGAGCAGAACUUGAGCCUCAGGCAAAUCAGAGACGAGGGGGAAACUUUGCUUUUUCCUCCAGUGGCAGGGAGCUCUGGGCUGGGGAAAUGUCUUUUUGAACACAAAGUUCCAGUUGCAUUCAUCCACAGGAAAAUGUAAAGAGCUUAAUUUAAUGCCCUCUGGGAGUCAUUUCGAUUUAAAAGUGGUAUUAUAGCUUGUGGCUAGAAGAAUGGGCUUAACGGUUAGUCACCUUCUGUUUGGGCAUGUCAUUUAAUCUCUUUGAGGCUGUUUCUUCAUCUUAAAAUAUGAGUGAGAAGGUAGUACCCACCUUACAAUGUGGACAAGAUUAAUUUAGGGAAAACACGUAGCACAGGGCUUCACCCAUGGUAAGUAUUUCAUAAACGGUAACUAUUUUUAACAAUGACAAUUCACAGAGUUAAUCCUAAUAAAAAAUGAUUACAGAAGAGGACGCCUCCACCCACAGGAAGGAGCCAGCACGGUGGGGAGCUGUUUCACCAGGGGAGUGUUCUCAGCAGCUGCCACACGUGGAGUUGUGGAGCUUAGUGUCCUCAUCCGUAAAAUGAGGGGCUCUCUGAGAGUCUGCCAGGGCCGCUGUCUGAUCUGUGACAGCGUGGCAUGUGGUGUGGUAUGUAAUGCACGUUCCUGCCUGCAGGGAGGCCCUCUCCCUUCCCCCACCAGGCUUCUGGGCAGCACUUGCUGUCAUCCUUGCUUCUGGAACAGGACUGUGCUGUUUUCCAGGCCAAAUUGGAGGGCUGAGGGGGUCUAUUAAGAAGACUCUGGGGAGAUGGUGGAACAAUUCUGUGCUUGAAAUUACCUUCCUCUUUAAAUCUUGCCAUGGCCCUAUUAGAAAAGCUAAGGGGGCAGGAGGAGAGGAGCGGGCAGGGAGAGGAGAGAGAGAGAGAAGAAGGAAGAAGGAAAGGGAAAGGUAAGAAACCCCAUAGCCCGACCCUCAGCCCUGUUGAAGGAGAUUAUAUAAAUAGAGUCGCUGUCACUUUGAUGAAUUAAAUCCUCCGUUAAUUAGGACGCAUCCAUUUAAGGGUUGUCCAGCCAGAUAGUCCUUUUCCCUUCCCAGCAAGUCAUAGCUCAGGGAGGAGGCAUGAGAGGGAUCGUUUUCUGUUUCUGGCUUGAUUGCUGGUUUCUUUCUUACUAGGCUUCAUUAAUUAUCCUGGAAUGUGGUCACCCAGUUUUCUUCAACAUGGGCCAUUCUCCUUUUAGCAGGAUCUUGGCAGUGGACUGCCACGGGAGCUCUGGGGAAAAAGGACCAGUUGGACUCCAGUACCUCCUGAGAGACCACCACCCUCCAUGCCUCCAGCUCAUGCCCAGCUCUGAGUCAGACGGACUCUUCCUGUUGUACUGCGAGGUUCUGCAAACCUUGAAGGGCAAACACAGUGAGGGUCUCUGACUUGCUGUGUGGACAGCCCACUCUCUGACAGCCCAGAUCAUCUGAAGCUAUCCCUGGGCUGGGAGCUGGAAGCCAUUCUUGUGAACCACUCCUUAUACCUUGAGCGAAGCCUCUUUGGGUCCCAGAAGUCUGAAGCUCCAGCUGCCUGGCAAGACUGAGUCUAGAUGAUUUCUUGGGUACCAGUAGUUUGGCAUUUAAAAAUACUGGAUUAACUGCAGUGUAAACUUAGAUUGCAUUUCAGAUUGUAAACAAUAACCCCCGUGCUUCAUGUGAUGUUAAAUCAGAAAUGAGCUAUUAGCCAAGCUAGUCCUCUUAUGAAUGAGCCCCUAACCCUGAUCCAGGGAUCGUUGAAUGAAAAUCAUCAAAAUGAUUUAUCUUCACUUUACCUAUUGUCUCACAAGAAUCUCAUCACUCAGGGAAAAGGAGGGUGUUCUUCAGGGAACGGAGGGCAUGAGGAAGGGGGAUUUCCUUAUAUCUCAACUUUCAGAGGGAGCUGAGUUGUAAACAGAUGGAACAAGGUGUGUACGAGAAGCCUCUUAGAUUUAGUCUUUCAUAUCAAGGCUCUUGCUGAAAAUCCUGGCACAGCUGUGAAAUGAGGGGAGCUCUGACACACAGAGACACGCUCCUUGCCUCACCAACCUUCCCAUACACAGUCAUGCGCACAGAGAGCAGGUACCAAUACUGAAAAUGCCCUUCCGGAGUUUCCUCAGCUUAAACCCUUGACAGCAUUAAGUGAGGAAGGAGUUUCCUUGACCUGGGGAAGAAGAACCAACUCAUAAACAUGGAACUGUGCCCACUGCCUUUUCCUUUGCUCUGUGGAUUGGCUGUGGUUCUGCCCUGGCACUCGGAUGUCAAGUUGCUCUGGCUGUUUGGGAGGAAGCCCAGCCUGGGUCAGGUGGUCAUAAGCCAGAGGCCCUGUCCUGUCCCCAGGGUUGGCCUCCCUCUGGGGUCCAGCAUGGCCCCAGUGCUGAGGCUCCCACUGCUGGGGAAUGUGCCCUCUCCUCUCUUUGUUUCCAUACCAAGGGGAUCUGCAGGGUAGAGGGCAAAUUAUUCUUAGCAGAUUGGGGCUAUGGGUAAACCAGAAGGGAUGAGGGAGAGAGGAGAGAGGAGAGGAAAGGGAAGGAGAGGGGAGGGCAGGGGAUAGGUAGAGGAGAGAGACAGCAAGAAAAAAUAGAAAAAAAAAAAAAGGAAAUAAAGGUUGCAUAUACAAAGGGAGAUUAACAAGGAGUAGAAGAAGGGAGGCAGAAGAGGGAGAAACAGAGAAGAGGAACAAAGAAGACAUUUCCAAAAAAGACGUGAGCACACCAGGCAGGAGGGAGAAAAGGAACAAGGAGAAAGGAAGGAAGUGAGACAAGCUGGGGAGAGAAGAGGCAAAGGCAGCCAGGAGCAGGCAUAGGGGAGAGAGGAGUGGGAAGCCCCAGGGGGUACAAGGAAAAAAAUGAGGGAAGCCAGUGGGAGGAAGGUGAGGAAGAGGAGAGGGAACAGGCACUGGGUGGGGAAGAGGCGAGCAGGAGAAAGCCUGUGCUGUGUGGAUUAUUGUGUGUUUGUCAUCUGGAAUGGUAUAAGCUGUAGGUACAGCAGCUCCCGCCCAUGAUUUAUGGUCCCUGUCAGGCAGGGACCGCGCUUUGUCUGCUGUAGCGUGGACGAUGAAUGCUCCGCUGUCAUCCCAGCCUGGCCGGCCUUUCUCUCUCUCUGCUCCCAACGCUGGCUCCCCAUUUCACGCCAGUGAACAUAAGCAAUCUUUUGUAAACCUGACAGUCACACUUGCUUCUUUGGAAACAUAAAGCAGAAAUGUAUGACUCGGCUUUCAUUACCCAAUUUCCUACGCUAUAUAAAAACACUCAGGAAAGACAUGUAAGUGGUCACGAAACCUGGGAAAUUGGAAGUGUCCUGGAGGAAAAAAAAAGGAAGAGUGGGGAGAAGGGGGCUGUAGGGUGGGAGGGAGCCGGUGAGGAGAGGAGACGAUGUGUCUAACUCCACCACAUCCUUCCCAGAAAACGCCGGCUGAUAAACGGGCCAUGCAGACACAUAAUUAUAUUACAUAUCUGAAUAAUAGACAUUUCCUGCCUGAAGUGUUGCUUUUUUUCCUCCUUCUCCUUUUAAC